rnacentral:rRNA from 1 species
AACCUGCGGUAAGGAUAUUACCGAGUUGAUUCGAGCUUCCGGCUCGACUCUCCCCACCCCAUGUGUACCUACCUCUGUUGCUUUGGCGGGCCGCGGUCCUCCGCACCGACCCCCGUUCGGGGGCCGGCCAGCGCCCGCCAGAGGACCACAAAACUCCAGUCAGUAAACGUCGCAGUCUGAGAAACAAGUUAAUAAACUAAAACUUUCAACAACGGAUCUCUUGGUUCUGGCAUCGAUGAAGAACGCAGCGAAAUGCGAUAAGUAAUGUGAAUUGCAGAAUUCAGUGAAUCAUCGAAUCUUUGAACGCACAUUGCGCCCCUUGGUAUUCCGAGGGGCAUGCCUGUUCGAGCGUCAUUUCAACCCUCAAGCUCUGCUUGGUAUUGGGCUCCGUCCUCCGCGGACGCGCCUCGAAGACCUCGGCGGUGGCGUCUUGCCUCAAGCGUAGUAGAAAACACCUCGCUUUGGAGCGCAUGGCGUCGCCCGCCGGACGAACCUUUGAAUUUUUCUCAAGGUUGACCUCGGAUCAGGUAGG